GGAGAUUAAGAUGGGGAAGAUAGGAGCUCCUGCAGGGCCAGCCAGCAUUUAGGGAACAGGAGUGCUAGGUCCUCAGAAGGUGGCAGAGAAUCUGAGGGAGUGUGAGGUCACAGUGUAGAGGGAGAAGCAAGCAUCUGGGUGCAGAGUUCUGAUAGGAGGGCAGGGAAGGAGAGCCUUAUUGAAUUAGGGCCCAGAUUCUUACUGGGUCAUGUAACUCAGAAAAUUUGCCAACAGUCAAAGUUUUCUUAAUGCGUAAUGGCCAACAGAUAAUUGUAAAAAAUUAAACACAUAAUCAAUCCAGGGUGUUUCUGGUUGUAUCAUGUGAGCUCAUGACAGGCUCUGUCCUGAAUGCAGACACAUCUUCAUACAUCGUAUACCUCCCCUAGGAGCUGUGAGAUCACCUGACACCCCUCAGCUCAGGGAAAUUUGACUCGAGCUACAGAACAAAGGCAGAAGAAAUAGAAGUAAAAGAAAAUCAAAGAAAAAGUGGUUCGGAUUCAAGGGGAUCGAAUGUUUCAUUUAUUGCAGGGAUAGAAAGUCAGCAGAAGUAUUGAGUGGAGAGAACUUGGAGUCACAACUAUAUAAUAUUCUAUUCUGCUAUGUAUAAUAUUCUGCCACACUACUGAAGGAAAAGAAAUAGUGUGGGCAGAGAAACCAGCCUUCUGCCCAGGACCAGGGGAGCCUUGCGGGUAUCUGCAGAGCCGCCGGAACCUUCUUCUGUAUAAUGGAGAAGCACAUCACUAUGGCACAUUCUAGCCAUGGCCACUCUGGUUCCACUGCUCAAGAACCCCCUUUCCCAGAGCUCUUCUGUCCAGUGGGCCCUCAUCAACUCUUCACAUCCCCUCAGCAGAGGGAGUGUGCCAGACUCAAAGGCAUGAGGCUGUAAUGGCACCUCUACUCUGCUUACACUCUGUGCAGCCGACUGCCUCAUGGCCUGACAUAGGGGGAAGUCACAUAGCACGUGCCCUUUGCUAUCUGGCUUAUUCCACUCAGCAGAAUGCCUUCAAGAAUUCUUGCAAGGUAAUGAAUGAUUCACACGCAUAGAAGACAUGCUUACAAAACGAGUUACAUAAAAUAAACAGUUGUGGAAAUAAUUUCAACACAGUACGGCAUUGUGCAUGCUUUCUCGAAAUAAAAGGUGGAGAGGUAGGACCAACAAUCGUUAAAAGGUCCAGAGGGUGAUGAGUUUAUUUCAAGAUAUUUUUGAACACCUGGAACGUCCAUUGAUGACUAAGUCACAGAGUUUGCAGGUAGGACCAGGAAGAUUGUCUUGUGUUGCUGUAUACUCAGAAUUAAAGGACAUGUUAGCUUUCAUAAGUUCGUUAGCAAAAAAGGAACAGAAAAAUCAUGGACUUCCUGGAUUCUAUGCACUGAUACUUGAGGAAAUUCUUGUUCAGAAGAUCCGGGCAGGGGGCGUCUGUUUCCACUGGAUCGUUUCAUUCUUGAUGUGGAAGCGAGGCAAAGGCUCAUCUGGCCUCCUUACCAAAGGCAGUGGCCUAGUUUGGGGACACCAAACCACUUCCAUCAGUUCGCCAGGCACUGUAUGUGAAUGGUGGCUUGUGAGAGGACAUGACUAAACUCCAUUUCACUCUGAAGAAGCCACCCUAGCUAUUCCAUUGAGCUCAUGGCUCAUUUGUGUCUGUCGUGC
rnacentral:sRNA from 1 species